rnacentral:rRNA from 1 species
UACGAACUGUGCGAACGUUAUUCGGAAUCACUGGGCUUACAGGGUGCGUAGGCGGCCUUUCAAGUCAGGUGUGAAAUCCCACAGCUCAACUGUGGAAUGGCGCUUGAAACUGGAGGGCUGGAGUCAGCUAGAGGUGCACGGAACUUCCGGUGGAGCGGUGAAAUGUGUUGAUAUCGGAAGGAACACCAGAGGCGAAAGCGGUGCACUGGGGCUGUUCUGACGCUGAGGCACGAAAGCCAGGGGAGCGAACGGG